ensembl:lncRNA
GUCAUCCAAGGUCAUUAGUAACAGAAACCAAAUUUAUUGUCCAAAGUGAUAACAUAUCAAAGAAAUACAUACCAAAUCUUUUGCCAUUAAUUAGUUUUUAACAUCUUUAUUGCAUUUACAAUGUGUGUGGAACAUUAUAAGGAUUUACAGUAGAAGCCAAAUAUCCCAGCCCUUGAAAGUCAAAUAAGAAAGACUGAAUGGACCAUACAUAAAUAUCUUUGAACACAAGCAGUGGAAACAUACAUAUGAUUAUAAUUUUACAGGCUUGUACAGGUAACUGCUGUAUGUAACAUAACAGGUGGGAAGGGUAAGACAAAGUGGAUAGAAGUCACUAGGGGUGUGAAAUAACUGUAGCUGGGUGGGACUGAAUAAAAAGACAAUGUUGAAAAUAUGAUUUGAUUUGUAAAGGCUAAAAUGUCCUGCAAAAACAUAGCUACUACCUAAGCACAAUUGUGAGGUAGAAUUCUCCCCACCCCGUUUUCUGGUUUCUUGACCACCGUUUGGGGGAUUUUCCGUCCAGAUGCUUCUCUUUCACGCUGCUGUACCUGGGACUAACCAGUAGGACAUGUUCUUUAAUACCCCUUCCACCCCCAUUGAACAGAAUGAAUCUUUUCUGUUAUCAGUCUUACUUUGCCUACUGAAAACGGGUGGCAAAAGUUAGUAAUAUAACAAACCAAUGCUGUUUCUUCUAGCUAAUACUAUCACCAUGCUUGGCUAAAUACUUUAAUCAUUCAAGGAGUUACACUAAAAUUUCAGGGAUAGGUACCACGUGGGGAGCUGUUUUGGGCAGACAGGCAUUUGUGUCCUUCAACACUAACUGCCAACUCUGAAGAAUGCCAUUUCUAUUCCAAAUCCACUUCUAAUACUUCAGAUUAUGGGUCAUAAAAAUAGUUUACAGUUUUCUACACAUUCAACAUAUAGUGAAAACCCAGGACACAGCACACCCACAUUGAAAAAAAAAGAUAUGGAAUUUCUUUCAAAACUACCCUAUGACACAGAAAUUCUAAUCCUAGGUAUUCACCCAAGAGAGAUGAAAACCUAUGCUCACAUAAGACUUAUGUUAAGAAUAACCAUAGCAGCUUCACUUACAAUCGCCAGUACUGCCAACAGCCCAGGUAUUUAUAAAUAGGAAAAUGAAUAAAUAAACUGUAAUACAGUCAUACAAUGGAAUACUACUCAGCAAUAGAAAAGGAAUUAACUAUUAAUACACACGACCACGUGGAUAAAUCUCCAAAACAUGGUAAGUAAAGAAGCCUUCAAGAAAGACACAUGCUGUGUGGCUCUAUUUACACAAAGAUCUAGAGCACAAGAUCUGAUUUAAGGUAAAACAAAGAAUAGCGGCUGCCUGUGGAGGAGGAUGUGGGUGAGUAGAGGACUGACUGGAAAUGGCAACAUGGGAAUUUUUUAAUAGUAUUUUAUAUUUUGAUAGCACUGUAUGCAUUUACCCAAACCCAGCAGAUACACACUUAAGACUUACACACUCACUGUAUGCUAAAUUUUAAAUAAAAGUGAAAUUAUAAGCACAUACUGAAUUCUAGCUAAUGACUGAAGUAUUCAGUAGGAAGUGUGUAGAUUUCUUCCAUUUAAAAUGCAUCAGAAACAAUCUGAAGUGGUGAACUGAUGGAUGGAUAGGUGACAAAGCAUAGUUAAUGCUAACAUCUGGGUGACGAGUAUACUAUAAAAUUUUAACUUUUUUAUAUGCUUGAAAAAUUUUAUAAUAAAACUGUUGGGGAAAAAAUUCAGGGCACACUGCUUACAAAAUAAUGCUGCUGAGAAUUUCAUUACUGAUUUCAUAAUCAUAAAUUCUUCCCAACAGUGUCAACUUAGAAACUUAAGAGCUUGUGAAAGGAUAUUCCUGUGUGAGGUAAGUAAUCAGUUCUUGGAUCUAUGCUGACUUAAAAUUGUCAAGGUGAUUUUCCAUCUGCUUUGUUGGUUGUGGAGACUAACAGUUAAGAUGAAAAAACAUUCUAAAGGGAAAAAUCAAGCACAUUUUUACUGACUUUUAAUACUAAAAAAGGACCAGAGUAACUGUAAUAGAAAAGAUGUGGAGACCUAAAACACAAUGUAAGGCUUGAUCAAAGCGAACAGGUCCCCGCUAGUCAAUGGAAGGACAUCGGAGUCACCCUCCUGUCUCUCCAGGAAUGACACAUUUGGAGACACCAUAUAGAGAUGGCAUCUGACUUGUAAAUACUUCUAAGGGGACACUGUGAGGAUCACUAAGAAUGGCUUCAGACUCCUAUAGCCUUUUGUCAGAAAUAGUUAGUAUUCCACAAACCUGACUUAAGAUUCAUAACAUACUCUACUAUUGAAAGCGGGUAACUAUUUUUAGUUAUGGUGACUCAGUGGUAAAGAAUCCGCCUGCCAAUGCAGGAGAAACAGGCUUCGCGGGUUUGAUCCCUGGUCGGGAAGAUUCCCUGGGAGAGGAAAUGGCAACCCACUCCAGUAUUCUUGCCUGGGAAAUUCCAUGCACAGAGGAGCCCAGCAGCCUCCACUCAAGGGUCACAGAGAGCUGGACAUGACUUCGUGGCUGAGCACACAGCACAAGAAUUUCUGUGUAAUUACCUAUGGUAUCAUGUGUGUUGCCUCCUAAAAAUUUUCUAACAGAAAUAACCUUGGUUCUUUUAUAAUUUUACUUGCUGCUUUCAGAGUGUGUAGUUACAGUUCUGGCCUCUCCUGUGAUCUCUAAGUUCUUCCUGUUCUAGCACAGGCUCUGCCUUUUCCUCAAGCGCACGGACUAGUCUUGCCAUGUUUCAAGUCUGCUUUAAACUACUACAGUCACGUUACUCAGCAUCAUACCCAUGAGCCUUUUUCAGUAUUCAACACUCCCAUGUAUUUACGCUAUUUCAUGAAGCACCUGCAGUCCUAUCAGCCUCUAUUACAGGACCAGUCCUUUCCUCUUAUCAUCACUGCCCAAGUUUACCAGGAUUGCUCUUCUCUAACCAUUACAGCACCGAUGGUGGUCAGAUUCAUGCUCUUGUCUCUAUAGGUUGGUGCUGACUCGCUAAGAUCAUGAGUAUGACUUUUACUUACUUUCUUACUUUUCAAUGGAACUGUAUCAUGUCCUGUUAACCUCAAAGUAGAAGAUACUCCUCCCAUGUCCUCCAUCUGGCUGGCCUAUCAUCCUGCCACAACAGGGUUAAUUUGUCAUGUUUAAAAAUGCAUGUAAGAAUUAAAGAUUUUAAAAUUUAAAAAAUAAAAAACAACAACAACAACAACAACAACAACAAAAGAUAUUGUCUUUAAAAAAAAAAAAAAAAAAAAAGUCUUGCUGUUUACUGCAGAGCUCACUGGCCCCACCCUCAGUAUUGUCAGUAUACAGAACGGAGGGGAAAUGGGAGUGUUGGGAGGUGAGCAGACAAGGUUCCCUUUCCCCCAAAACCCCGUGCUUGCCAUCUGGGACAAGAACACAAUUAAAGAAUGCUCCUCAUUUUAUUCUGGAAAGAUAAUAAUCCAUCCAUUUUGAAUAACAUUUUAUUUUUUAAGACUUUUAAUAUAAUUAUACUUCAUUCUUAAAAUUACUUGAUAUCAUUUCUCUAUUUUACAGGUUCAGAGAAGUUUAAUGAUUUUUCACCCAGGUUAGUAAAUGCCAAAACCAGAUUCUGAAGUACUUACACUCCACCUCUUUUCAUUAUAUUCACUAGAGUUCUUAUUUUAGCCUAAGUUUACAACCUUUCCUGUACUAUUCUUGCCAUUAUUUAUGUUUCUUGGCUAAACCUAGAUUUUCUGUAGCACACACCUAAGUCAACUAAUGUCAGGUGUUAAACCUGCACUUCCUUUUCCCUCAAGGUGACUGUUGCCCCUCUACAUAUACCAGGAGCGAAAUUUUCCACACCCAACUGGAGCUCUUUAUUUUUUAACUGAAAGGUAACUCUAGCUAAGUUUUGCUAAUUAGGUUAACUGGUCAGCUAUAUUCUAGUCCACCUUCUUAACCCUAGAUAAUAUUUCUUUUUGAGGUUUAAACAAAUAUAUCUCAAACAUACAUCUCUUGUUACUGAUAUUUACCAAUGUUAAUCUCCUAUAGUGUUUUCAAUAGAUUCAAGAUGGGGAUGAUUUUAACAACUACAGUUAUGUUCAGUUUUUAGUAACCACAGUACUUUACCAUGGUCCUGUGGGGCUGGGAAAAGUACACAGUAAUUUCCAAUUCUUCUGGCAAGGAACUUAAAAUGUAGUAGAGAAUUAUGAAGUCUUUCUUCAAACAAAGCCAGUACAGAGACAGGUUCAACUAAUCUCACAAUCACGCCAUUUUUCAUAGCGGGCUUAUGUAUGAUUUACUCAGCACUAUCAGAAAAGUAACUGCCUUAUUCAUAUUAAGGAGAAUGCACUAAUAAUACACUAAAUAGCACACCCCGCACACCAACUGACAGUGAAACACACACGUUAAUACCAGGUAAUGCUUCGGAGCACUGGCCAAAUUAAAGACCUAUAACGUGAGGGAAGCAUCCAAUCCUCUACACAGCAAGGAAGCCUAGAACUGCCGACGUCUUAGCUGGCAGACUGAGCAAUUUUAUCACCCACGAGUUACCAUGGUAGAAUCAGGUGACCAACAAUGAAGACUGGAAUACAGUCAAUUUUAUCUGAAAGGAAGUUAUCAUCUUCACAUCAUAAUUUUGCUGGGUUAGACAUGUGUGAAUAGAUGCCUAAACUGUCCAUAGAUACUUAGCUUACACAGGAGCAAAUUUAUGACAUGAAGACAAAAGAAAAACUCAGAGCAAAACAAAAAAAUUAAGCUAGCCUAAUUAACAUUCAAUAACUCCCUGAGAUGAGUUAAGAUAACGUGGAAGUUGUAGCAGGCAUGCCAAGUCGUUUCAGUCGUGUCUACUCUUUGCGACCUAUGGACUGUAGCCCGCCAGGCUUCUCUGUCCAUGGGAUUCUCCAGGCAAAAUUACUGAAAUGGGUUGCCAUGCCUCCUCCAGGCGAUCUUCCUGGCCCAGGGAUCAAACCCGUUGUCUCCUGUGGUUCCUGCAUCGCAGGCAGAUUCUUUAUUGCUGAGCCACUGGGGAAGCCCGAGUUGUAGCCUAUAUUGUACCAAUUAAAAAUGAUGGUUCUUUCUCUAUUUGCAGGCCAAUGUUAAUUUAUGAUUUACAAAGAACUUGUCUUUUCAAACAGACUGAAGUCACUUCCUUCACAGGUAUUCUAGUGAACUAUGAUCCUAUGAAGAAAAAUCACAUUAGGGCAUUGUUGGUUUUCAUUCAUAACUAUGUCUAUGGGUAUUUGGAUACACAUAUAGAAAGCAGGAGCAAAGUUACAAAUGAAAAGCAACAAUAUUUACUGUGUGUUAAAAGCAUAAUCUUCACUUGAAAUACUCAAACCACAAAUAUUUCCAAAUGUGCCUUACUUCACUCUUGCUGUAGGCAGGACAGAUUAAGGCACAUAAAAUUAACUCAUUUGACAGUAAGUAGGGG